rnacentral:Y_RNA from 1 species
GGUUGAUCUGAUGAUAGUGGGUUGUCAGAACUUAUUCACAUCAGUGUCACUGAAGUUGAUAUGCAACCCCCCCACUGAUAAAUUUGACUGACGAAAA